CCUACGGGAGGCAGCAGUGAGGAAUAUUGGGCAAUGGAGGCAACUCUGACCCAGCCAUGCCGCGUGAGUGAAGAAGGUUUUCGGAUUGUAAAGCUCUUUCGGAGGUGACGAUGAUGACGGUAGCAUCUAAAGAAGCCCCGGCUAACUCCGGGCCAGCAGCCGCGGUAAUACGGAGGGUGCGAGCGUUAAUCGGAAUUACUGGGCGUAAAGCGCACGUAGGCGGUAUGUCAAGUCAAGGGUGAAAUCCCCGCGCUCAACGUGGGGACUGCCUUUGAAACUGGCAAACUGGAGUGUGUGAGAGGAUAGUGGAAUUCCAGGUGUAGGAGUGAAAUCCGUAGAUAUCUGGAGGAACAUCAGUGGCGAAGGCGACUAUCUGGCACAUAACUGACGCUGAGGAGCGAAAGCGUGGGUAGCAAACAGGAUUAGAUACCCUUGUAGUC
rnacentral:rRNA from 1 species